UACGGGGGGGGCAAGCGUUGUUCGGAAUUACUGGGCGUAAAGGGCGCGUAGGCGGCGCUGUAAGUCACUUGUGAAAUCUCCGGGCUUAACUCGGAACGGUCAAGUGAUACUGCAGUGCUAGAGUGCGGAAGGGGCAAUCGGAAUUCUUGGUGUAGCGGUGAAAUGCGUAGAUAUCAAGAGGAACACCUGAGGUGAAGACGGGUUGCUGGGCCGACACUGACGCUGACAGCGCGAAAGCCAGGGGAGCAAACGGG
rnacentral:rRNA from 1 species